UACGGGGGGGGCAAGCGUUGUUCGGAAUUACUGGGUUUAAAGGGUGCGUAGGCGGCUAUGUAAGUCAGGAGUGAAAGUUUGCGGCUCAACCGUAAAAUUGCUUUUGAUACUGCAUGGCUAGAAUUAGGUUGAGGUUAGCGGAAUGUGGCAUGUAGCGGUGAAAUGCAUAGAUAUGCCAUAGAACACCAAUUGCGAAGGCAGCUGGCUAGACCUUUAUUGACGCUGAGGCACGAAAGCGUGGGGAGCGAACAGG
rnacentral:rRNA from 1 species